UGGGGAAUAUUGGGCAAUGGGCGAAAGCCUGACCCAGCAACGCCGCGUGAUUGAAGAAGGCCUUCGGGUUGUAAAGAUCUGUCCUAUGGGACGAAAAAAAUGACGGUACCAUAGGGGGAAGCCCCGGCUAACUACGUGCCGGCAGCCGCGGUAAUACGGAGGAUGCAGGCGUUAUCCGGAUUUAUUAGGUUUAAAGGGUGCGUAGGCGGCUUGAUAAGUCAGGGGUGAAAUCUAACGGCUUAACCGUUAGUUUGCCUUUGUGACUGCGAGGCUAGAGUGUAGCAGAGGGGGGUAGAAUUCCACGUGUAGCAGUGAAAUGCGUAGAGAUGUGGAGGAAUACCGAUGGCGAAGGCAGCCCCCUGGGUUACUACUGACGCUCAUGCACGAAAGCGUGGGGAGCAAACA
rnacentral:rRNA from 1 species